AGGGGUCAUCCGUGCUUCCCAGACUCGCUCUCCCCUGCACUCCUGCUCCCCGGCGCCCGCGGAGGAAACGCUGAUCGCGCCGCGCGGGCUGAGUACCUUUGGUGGCUCUGUACCCCGCUGGGAUCCAUAGGUGACGUUCGAGAGCCAGGUGAUCAAGAGACAUGACGGACUUCAUGCCCGGAGUGGGCUCCAUCUUCUGGAUGACGACUUCUUCGCGAAGGAAUUGGUACAAGAUUGGGAAGGAGCCACUCUCGGCUUUACAGAGUGAACACGUGUCCUGAGAAGACUCGGAAAGCAGAAAUACCGUAUUGUUGGAAGGAAGUAAACUGGAGGGAAAUGUUAUUAAGAAAAUCAUCAGGAAGAGAAAAUACAUUUACAGUCCUGUCCUGUAGAAAGUCUGCAGGGAAGGGGACCCGUGCAUUUCAACCCCGUGGCCUUCAUGGGUCAGCUGUACCUCUGUCUGUCUGCCUGCCUGUCCAUCUGAAAAAUCCUCAUGCUGCUUAUUAUUCCAAACAAAUUUUAUAAGUUUGAAACUACA